rnacentral:sRNA from 1 species
GUUGGGUGUGGUGGCGCAUGCCUGUAAUCCUAAAGACAUAAGAAGCUGAAGCAGGAGGAUCACAAGUGGGAGUUAGUCUGGGCAAUUUAGUGAGACCCUGUCUCAA